AACUACGGAGCGCCAGACUGCCUUCCACAUCUUCUUUGCUCACGCACAUACCUACGUGCAAGAGAGAAGGCGCGUGAGGGUGAAGACACCGAUCAUGUACCCUCUACAGGUGCCGAAAGGGGCAGACGAAAACGCCGCCGCCCAAAGGGCCACCACGAAACUCCUGAACUCCAAGAACCCAGUAAGAAGACCUGCUGAAUUAAGGAGCUACAGCCCAGCAGCCUGUUCGAAACCAGG